rnacentral:lncRNA from 1 species
GGCUGCCACCAGGCAGGCAGCUUUCCCUCCACACCCUUCCGCCGGGGUGAGUCUGCCCAAAGCAAUGGAGCCAGCCGACCAAGGACCGAAACCAUGAGCCAGAAUACAGCUCUCCUCCUUCAAGUUGAUUUUUCUCAGGUCAGGGACAACAAAGUAGCAGGUCCAGGUCCCAGAACGCGGACAGCAACAGUGGGUCUCCUACAGCUGGCACCUCGAACAGGGAGAGGGGACGCCUUCAGCUAUAUGAUCUGUUUCACAACAACAGGCUUGCCCGAGAGCUGACGUUGCUUUGGAAGUUCACAUGGCAGAGGAAUGACCUGCUCCCACCUGAGAGGAUCUGGCCGGCCACGGAUUCUUGCUCCUGAUCCACAUACUCCCUCGUGACCCUGGCAGAACUGUAAGUCAUUCUUGAGCCACAGGGCCUCAGGUGUCAGCAGCAAAAAGCAAUCUACUCUCUUCUGCUUACAGCAUUGUUCUGAGGAUCAAAUAAGGUGAAAUACUUUGAAAUACAGAAAGCCCUUGUCUCUUUCCUGAGGCCUCUCAUAGGCUGUUCUCCCGACCUGGAACCUGUCCCCACCCUGCCCUACAGCUGUGUCCUGAAACAUCACUGGCUCAUUCUGCUCUGGCCACACUGGCCUAGGCCUGAAGGGUCCCUCUCGGCCUGGCUAGGUCCUUCCGUCUGCCCGGGUCACUCUUUCCCAGGUGGCUGCCCGCUGACUUCCUCCAGCGGGCCUCUGUCAUGUAUCAGACAAGCCUUCUUCAGACCCCUCAGGGCCCGGCAUCCAGCUGCAGCAGCUCUGCCUUCCCCUGCCCCAGGCUUCUCUGUAGCUACCGGACGACCUGUUGGUGACUUGACUUUAAAAUGUCAGCUCCACCGGAGCAGAGACCUGGCUUUGUUCAACUGUUAUCUCAGUGCUCAGAGCUUCUCCACAAAAGAAGAAAAAUUUUUUAAAGCAAGGAGGGAAGAAAAGAAACCCAGCAGACAGCUGUGUCGGAGCGUGAACAGGAUGGGCUGGGUGGAAGAGAUUUCAGGGGCCAAACCACAGGGAACAAGGCUCAGGAGACCGAGUUCCCCUGCGCCCCAGCCCCCUCCUGGCUCAGAUGUAUGGGAGCAAAGCCUGGGUGUAAUUACGGGCAUCGGGACUCUGCUCCUCGUUAUCCACCCUCUUUGCUCACUUAAUUGGCUCAAAGCCUGUGGCAUGAAGAGAGAACUGUGCAGCAAUUUGGCACGUGGGGAGGAGCGGCGGGGCCGGUGCCUGGCUAACUGGGCUGGCUCGGGUUCAGUUCUCUCUGGUGUCGGGCCCAGGUGGGCGCGGCCGCUGUCCCCGGAGCCUUUGAUGUCUUGGCACGCAGGCCCCGCGCGGGACUUGCUCAACCUCCAACCUUCACGCGGCAGCUCCUCGCGCAUGCCCGGCAGGUCUCCCGGGGCCAGGGCUAUCUGAGCGCUCUCCGUGGGCGCACAGUAAUUCUGCCAAGGGAAUAAAACCUAAGCCCCGCCUAGUCAGCUCCACUUCCCGCUGUCUUCUCCUUUUGCCCUGUCCCACUUGCCUCCCAGCUGUGAAGGUGCUGCCUCAGGCCCUUGGCGUUGCCCUCGCCCUUAUGAUCACAUGGUUUCUUUCGCUACCUGCGUCUGUUUACAUGAUAAAUAGAGGGGCUGUAGCACUUUGGAAAAGUCUCCCUCCUCUUUGGACCUCCAUUUACUCAUCCGAUAGAUGGGCAGAUUUAUCCAAGCUCUACGUUUCUUUUUUUUUUUUUUUUUGGUACCGGGGAUCAAACUCGGGUCCUUGCGGUUGUGCAGCAGGCGGCGAAACCACUGAGCUAAAUCCCCGGCCUCUACGUUUCUUUUGCAAAUGGACAUUUCCUGUCUGAGUGUUGUGCUAGCUCUUUAUGAGGCUACGGAGAGUUUUGGAGACCCUACUGAUCCCGGGUUCUGGGUGCUGGGUAGACAGAGGUAAGGAAAUGAGACAAACUGUCCCAGAGGGACAGGGGGCGGAGACCGACACGCGCAAGAAUACGGCAAGUCCUGUGGCUCCAGAGCGGUGUGGAGGUGAAAGCCAGGACGGGGGACUGGGGCCCGGGCUUUGGAGACGGAGGGCUCCUUCGAGGAGGUGACUUCUGCUGAGACCCGAAUGACAGGAGCUGGGGACCAGUGAUCCAAGAAGGGGCAGCUCUUGCAGAGGCCCAGGGGAAGGAAUGGAGGGCCAGCGUCACCUUCCGUGAGUGACCCGAAAGCCUGUGCGUAAGGAUGGAGAGGAGGAGCCCACGAGAGCUCUGGAGGCAGAGGCCGAGGGCGCCUCCUGAGGUCUCUGCGUCCUCCCUGGACACCGGAGCCCAGAGUCCCACUUGUGAUGCUGCUUCCCAGAUUGAAAGUGAUGCACACUGCUUAAAAUUCACCGAGAGUUCUGCCGCCCUGCUGCCUUGGGGGUCACACCCGCCUUCACAGAGCCCUUGGGGACCUGUUUGCUCUACCUAAGGGCAGAAUGUCAGUU